rnacentral:rRNA from 1 species
GUUUGAUCCUGGCUCAGAGCGAACGUUAGCGGCAGGCUUAACACAUGCAAGUCGAGCGAGAAAGGGGCUUCGGCUCCGAGUAAAGCGGCGGACGGGUGCGUAACACGUGGAUAAUCUGCCUCGUGGCGGGGGACAACAGUCCGAAAGGACUGCUAAUACCGCAUGUCAGGUCGGAAACUCCGGUUUCUGACGAAAAAGAGGGCACCCGCAAGGGGCUCUCACCACGAGAUGAGUCCGCGUCCCAUCAGCUAGUUGGCGGUGUAAUAGACCACCAAGGCUUAGACGGGUAGCUGGUCUGAGAGGAUGACCAGCCACACUGGGACUGAGACACGGCCCAGACUCCUACGGGAGGCAGCAGUGGGGAAUAUUGGACAAUGGGCGAAAGCCUGAUCCAGCCAUGCCGCGUGAGUGAUGAAGGCC